rnacentral:rRNA from 1 species
UACGUAGGGUGCAAGCGUUAAUCGGAAUUACUGGGCGUAAAGCGUGCGCAGGCGGUUAUGUAAGACAGGUGUGAAAUCCCAGGGCUUAACCUUGGAACUGCCUUUGAUACUGGAGAGCUUGAGUCCGGAAGAGGUGAGUGGAACUCCGAGUGUAGAGGUGAAAUUCGUAGAUAUUCGGAAGAACACCAGUGGCGAAGGCGGCUCACUGGUCCGGUACUGACGCUGAUGUGCGAAAGCGUGGGGAGCAAACAGG